GUAUUAUUAUCAUCAUCAUAUAUAACAUAUAGUUCAUGCUUUGGCAAUAUUGUACUUACAGUCAAUAAAGACAAUGGCAAUAAAGUCAAUAAACGCCAAUAAAGCUCAUUGAAUUGGAUUGAGAUGUCGAUGAGUGGAGAGGGAGAGACAAAGAGAGAGAGAGAGGGAGAGGGAGAGGUGGAGAGACAGAGAGAGGUGGAGAGGGAGAGAGAGAGAGGUGGAGAGACAGAGAGUGAGAGAGAGUGAGAGAGGUGGAGAGACAGAGAGAGGUGGAGAGGGAGAGGGGGGUGUAGAGGGAGAGAGAGGUGGAGAGAGAGAGAGGUGUAGAGGGAGAGAGAGGGGGAGACAGAGAGAGGGAGAGAGACAGAGAGAGGUGGAGAGACAGAGAGAGGUGGAGAGGGAGAGAGAGAGGUGGAGAGACAGAGAGAGAGGUGGAGAGAGAUAGAGGGGUGUAGAGGGAGAGAGAGGGGGAGAGACAGAGAGAGAGGGGGGGAGAGACAGAGAG
ensembl:lncRNA